UCAGUUGAAAUUCUGUGCAUUAGCUAAUAGGGUUUAAAAACUCUUGAUAACAGAAGGACUCGACUAACAGAGAGCUGGACCUCUGGUGAUAGACAUGCUGCGAAGAGAGAGAGAGAGAGAGAGAAUUCCCAGAUGCAAGAUUUCAGAGUUGAAUUAUCGACAUCUGAGUGAGUGACUAGAAGAGAGAGAGAGCGACAUACCUUCGGAGAAGAAUGGAAAGAUAAUGAGGAAGAGAGAACAAGAAGACUUUCCUUUUCCUCUCUUCAAACAAAACAGCACCAUUCUUUUGCUUAAAAUUAUGAAAAGCAUUCGCUGAGGGAUGUAUACAUCAGCUUAGCACCGGUCUGGAUAUGAACAAUGAAGAAAAUUGCACUAAUUAACACACUUUCUUUCCUUCUUUGACACCAAAAUUUCUUUGAUGAAGUGACCAUAUCUAAGAAUGCACAACUUAUCUUUCAUCAAGCAAACUGAAAGAGAAUUGUUUUUUGAGGUCACUGGAGAGCUGCCUUUCAAACCUAAUGUGCUUUUGAAAGUUACGUGUCUGUGAAAGCUCCAGGCAGGCCAGCACUUUGCACUGUUGGACCAAAAGGCCACAUAAAGGCUGUUGCCUGUGAUUACAAAUUCCCCAGUUGCUGGGAGCGUCACUUUGGCAGUUACAGAGCAAUUGUACCAAGCUCACAAUAUCAGCUCCUAUCAAAGAAAGUAACUCUAAAGCCAGUGCGUAAAUGCACCAUUGAACUAAUGUAAAGGUUAUUGUAUAUUGAAGAACCUUCUAGCCAAACACAAGUUAAUAAUUAAAGAUUGUAAGUGAUUUGAGAGGUAAAACAUUGGAUGCAGUUUUAUACUGUGCUUUAAUUUACUCCACACCCUGCGAUAUGACAGCUCUAAAAUCCAGGGAGUACUGUGUUCAAAUUGUGAAGUACUUCUGUUGCUCACUGACUCAAUCAUACAAUUAAAAGAUUGAACUGGGUUCCACUGUUGACUUAUUCCAACCUGGGCUUUAAAAUUGGCCUGAUUAGUGGAUACAGAGGAGAAGAUCAGAAAGAGCAGUAUGGUACCCGCUCCAUUUUGCUGUCCAGAAAACUCAUUGGAAGUAUCGUGUGUGGAUGUGGGUCAAGGACAGCGAUGGAUUUACUUGUGAUGUUCAUAGUCAAUCAUCCCGCUGAUGUUUCCAA